rnacentral:rRNA from 1 species
UACGUAGGGACCGAGCGUUGUCCGGAAUCAUUGGGCGUAAAGAGCGUGUAGGCGGCCACUUAAGUCCUGCGUGAAAUCUUGCGGCUCAACCGCAAGCGGUCGUGGGAAACUGGGUGGCUAGAGUGCGGGAGAGGAGAGUGGAAUUCCUGGUGUAGCGGUGGAAUGCGCAGAUAUCAGGAAGAACACCCGUGGCGAAGGCGGCUCUCUGGACCGGUACUGACGCUGAGACACGAAAGCGUGGGUAGCAAACAGG